rnacentral:rRNA from 1 species
CCUACGGGAGGCAGCAGUGGGGAAUAUUGGACAAUGGGGGGAACCCUGAUCCAACCAUGCCGCGUGUGUGAAGAAGGCCCUCGGGUUGUAAAGCACUUUCAGUGAGGAAGAACGCCUGGUGGUUAAUACCCAUCAGGAAAGACAUCACUCACAGAAGAAGCACCGGCUAACUCCGUGCCAGCAGCCGCGGUAAUACGGAGGGUGCGAGCGUUAAUCGGAAUUACUGGGCGUAAAGCGCGCGUAGGUGGCUUGAUAAGCCGGUUGUGAAAGCCCCGGGCUCAACCUGGGAACGGCAUCCGGAACUGUCAAGCUAGAGUGCAGGAGAGGAAGGUAGAAUUCCCGGUGUAGCGGUGAAAUGCGUAGAGAUCGGGAGGAAUACCAGUGGCGAAGGCGGCCUUCUGGACUGACACUGACACUGAGGUGCGAAAGCGUGGGUAGCAAACAGGAUUAGAUACCCCAGUAGUC